GGUUGCAAGAGAAGGAUGCCGAACUUUCGGGUCCUGAUCAUCUUUCGCCAAAGAAGCAUUCUUGCAUCUUUUAUAUUCUCCGAGAUAGACACCAUGAAAUUUGUAUGGCCGCCAUCUUGAAUCCGCCAUUUUGGUUUUAUUUUUCAGCUC